AGCGUUGGCCGCCGCGCACGUCGGGAGUUGUAGUUCUGGCUAGGCCGUGCGUCCUGCACCGAUCUCCGGGCCCGCCGCGGCGCCCGCUGGCCUGGGGUUCCGGCUUACAGCGCGGGAAUUCGGGAACCCAGCGCGGGCUGCAGAGGCCCCAGCAGGAGCCCCGCCUCCCGGCUCGUCGACGGAUUCGUUCUUGGCCCUGCCAAUCUGAUUCUCAGCUCCCAGAACUUCACGAUUUAGAAUGUAGACUUUUGCUUUGUGACAGUUCUCCCCAUCCCCGACUACUAAAUGACGAACCCUCUUUAACUGUGAAAUGUACCUGCAAAGUCAAGCAGUGUCUUUGGAUACCCAAGUUCAGAUAUGAACAAGCAAGCUACAAAAGCGGGGUGGGCGGGUAUGAGUGAGCAGAAGAGAGAAACCGGGCUGCAAAAAAGGAAAAUAAAGGCGGGACGUGGGGGUAUGAUUUGCUGAAUGGUACCAAAGUUGAUUUUUUGCACCGUGCACAGUGAUCGAGCUGAGCAAAUUAUUUUUUUUUUAAUUAUAAGCAGCGAGUGCCUUGCUGCCUCCUCAUGUGUGUCAAUAGGAGAGUGAUGAUAUUUGAGUUGGAUCUUAAAGAGUAAGUAGGAGUUUGCCACACAAAGAAGUUGGGUAAGGAAAUUCCUGCAGGAGAAACCUGUAUUUGCAAAGGCAAGAAUCCAGACGGAGUGUGUCAAAUUCGGGAAAAGAACAAAAUUCAAGGUGGCCAUAUUAUCUCUGGGAAGAAGAGAGGAAGGGCAAGAUUGCUGCUAGCAUGCUGGAUAUUCUCCAUUCCACCUUCUAGUGGUUCCUCCCAGCUCUUCCAGCUCUGCAUCAACUGACCUGAACAGGCAAAAAGACUGCACUAUCCAGGCUGCCUGGCCCUCUGGCUUCCAGUUGGUUGCCGCCGAUAGGAGGCAUCAGCAGGAAAUUGGAAAGUAGGAGGAAAGAGAUACGGAUAUUAAACCAAGAUUCCACUAGCCCAUGCCUAAGCCUGCCUGGCCAAGAUUGUAACAGUGGCUGAAUUCCUUGACCCAAAGACCACAUGUCCUGAUGGAUAGCAUACCACAGUGGGCACUGCAGAACCAGUUACACCAACUCAGAAGUGUCUGUAGUUAUCCAGGAAGGAAGGUGUUAAUUACGGAUUUGAAGUGUCAAGGUCAAAAAACACAUGACAAUACAGAAAAAUAAUAGAAAUAACUUGUCAAUGAUGUUUCUGAGAUGAACAAUCUUAGGUGAUGAGAGACUGUAGAUGCAGUGGGGUAAGGGGCGAUAAUACUGUAGAAGAAAUAUAAAAAAUCCAUUGACUUAAAACAAGCAUGUUACAAGUAAAAUGGGGGUCAAACUAUGAAAGGGUUUUACUUAUGUUGCACCCAAGGUCAACAUAAACAUUUUAUUUUAUUUUCAUUGUUGAGCAUAUAUUGCUCCUGUAAUUAGACAAAAAUAAUUAAAUCCCAUUCAUUACAUUCAAAGCAAAUAAUCUAUCAUUCUCCUAUUAGACUAUUGAUUCAGCAAUUUUUCCUAAAAAAAAAUCAACCUUUGAUUUAUUAAUUCUACUAUUUAAAAACACACAUAUAUAUUCUAGUGUAUUGACUGUAUUAUUUUUUACCAGUUACUUCACUCUGUCGCCCAGGCUGGAGUGCAGUGGUGUGAUCUCCGCUCACUGCAACCUCUGCCUCCUGGGUUCAAGUGAUUUUCCUGCCUCCACCUCCCACAUAGCUGGGAUCAUAAGCAUGAGCCACUAUGCCCAGCUAAUUUUUGUAUGUUUAGUAGAGAUGGGUUUUCGCCACAAUGACCAGGUUGGUCUCGAACUCCUGACCUCAAAUGAUCCUCCUGCCUCGGCCUCCCAAAAUGCUGGAAUUACAGGCGUGAGCCACCGCACCUGGGCUACAUCCUUCUUUAAGUGUGUUUUGCUGUUCUUUUUUUAACUUCUUAAGCUAAAGGUCUUGUUUACAUUCUUUCUUUAUUAGUUAUAGAGAAUUUUAAGUCCAUGAAUUUGCAUGUAAAAAAAGUUUUAAUCAUGUAUCAUGAGUUUCAAUUUGUAAGGUUUUGUUCUCAGCCAAUCUGAAACUGCUGUUUUGAUACUUUCUGUUUCACCCAAGAUCCAUGUAGGAAGAUGGUCUUUAAUCACCAAGUCUUUCUUACAUACACUUUAGUUAUUAAUUUCGACUUUUAUUAUAUCAGAGUCAGCAACAAUUACAAAAGGUCAGGGCCUUUUGUAAUUUGAAUGUUAAAGUCAAAGAUUUUAGGUGAACUUGAAAAAAAUGGGCAAUAGAUGUCUGCGUGGA
rnacentral:lncRNA from 1 species